rnacentral:rRNA from 1 species
UCCUACGGGAGGCAGCAGUGAGGAAUAUUGGACAAUGGAGGCAACUCUGAUCCAGCCAUGCCGCGUGCAGGAAGACGGCCCUAUGGGUUGUAAACUGCUUUUAUACAGGAAGAAUGGUACCUACGUGUAGGUAUUUGACGGUACUGUACGAAUAAGGAUCGGCUAACUCCGUGCCAGCAGCCGCGGUAAUACGGAGGAUCCAAGCGUUAUCCGGAAUCAUUGGGUUUAAAGGGUCCGUAGGCGGUCUGAUAAGUCAGAGGUGAAAUCCUGCAGCUCAACUGUAGCAUUGCCUUUGAUACUGUUAGACUUGAGUUAUUGUGAAGUAGUUAGAAUGUGUGGUGUAGCGGUGAAAUGCAUAGAUAUCACACAGAAUACCGAUUGCGAAGGCAGAUUACUAACAAUACACUGACGCUGAGGGACGAAAGCGUGGGUAGCGAACAGGAUUAGAUACCCUGGUAGUCCACGCCGUAAACGAUGGAUACUAGCUGUUCGACCAACAUGGGUUGGUUGAGUGGCUAAGCGAAAGUGAUAAGU